rnacentral:rRNA from 1 species
GACGAACGCUGGCGGCGUGCUUAACACAUGCAAGUCGAACGGAAAGGCCUCUUUCGGGGGGUACUCGAGUGGCGAACGGGUGAGUAACACGUGAGUAACCUGCCCUUGACUUUGGGAUAACUUCAGGAAACUGGGGCUAAUACCGGAUAGGAGCUCCUGCUGCAUGGUGGGGGUUGGAAAGUUUCGGCGGUUGGGGAUGGACUCGCGGCUUAUCAGCUUGUUGGUGGGGUAGUGGCUUACCAAGGCUUUGACGGGUAGCCGGCCUGAGAGGGUGACCGGCCACAUUGGGACUGAGAUACGGCCCAGACUCCUACGGGAGGCAGCAGUGGGGAAUAUUGCACAAUGGGUGGAAGCCUGAUGCAGCAACGCCGUGUGCGGGAUGACGGCCUUCGGGUUGUAAACCGCUUUCGCUCAUGACGAAGCUUUGUGUGACGGUAGUGGGUAAAGAAGCACCUGCUAACUACGUG